GAUCAUGGCUCAGGAUGAACGCUAGCGGCAGGCCUAAUACAUGCAAGUCGAACGGUGUCUAGCAAUAGGCAUAGUGGCGCACGGGUGCGUAACACGUAACUAACCUACCCACCAUUGGGGGGAUAGCCCGCCGAAAGGCGGAUUAAUACCGCAUAAUACAUGUGCCCGGCAUCGGGUGUUUGUUAAAGAUUUAUUGAUGGUGGAUGGGGUUGCGGGUCAUUAGCUAGUUGGUUGGGUAACGGCUGACCAAGG
rnacentral:rRNA from 1 species